rnacentral:rRNA from 1 species
CAGUCGCCACGGUAAUACAGAGGGUGCGAGCGUUAAUCGGAUUUACUGGGCGUAAAGCGUGCGUAGGCGGCUUUUUAAGUCGGAUGUGAAAUCCCUGAGCUUAACUUAGGAAUUGCAUUCGAUAAUGGGAAGCUAGAGUAUGGGAGAGGAUGGUAGAAUUCCAGGUGUAGCGGUGAAAUGCGUAGAGAUCUGGAGGAAUACCGAUGGCGAAGGCAGCCAUCUGGCCUAAUACUGACGCUGAGGUACGAAAGCAUGGGGAGCAAACAGGAUUAGAUACCCCGGUAGUCCCUGUCUCUUAUAC